CAAUUUUCACCCAUUUUCUCCGUCUAAAACCGUACAUUUCCGUCCCGAACCAAAAAGAAAAACCGAACAACAGAACUUUGAUCAGAUCAACCUAGCGAAUUCAUCAUUUUUCACAGAGUUUUGGGAUUCUAGCAUGUAAAGCUUCAAAAGCUUUCUCCAUCCAGAAUAAGCAAUAUGGAAGAUUCAUAAUGCAGCUUGUGAUGGGCUAUUUCUGUGAAGUUUCAGUUUAAGGCUUUGUUUCGCAGAUACAAAAAGACAGGGUUGUAUAAGAAGACAUAGGAUUGCAAGGGGUUAAUAUUGCAUGGAUGGUCGUGAAGGCUGGAUGUUGCCAAACAACUUUUCUCCAAAUGGUCUCUUGGCUGACAAAGUGGCCUCUUUGACUCGAGUGCUUGAUCAGGAGAGGUGGUCACAAGCUGAAGAGAGGACCGCAGAACUUAUUGCUUGCAUACAGCCAAACCAAUCCUCUGAGGAUCGAAGAAAUGCUUUGGCUAGAUAUGUGAUAUGCCUAAUCAAGAAGUGCUUUCCAUGUGAGGUUUUCACCUUUGGGUCAGUACCUCUAAAGACUUAUCUACCUGACGGAGACAUUGAUUUAACAGUAUUCAGUAACAAUCUAAGUUUGAAAGACAAUUGGGCAAGUAAAGUAGAAGAAAUUUUAAAGAGUGAAGAGAACAAUGAGAAUGCUGAGUUCCAUGUGAAAGAUAUUCAGUACAUAAAAGCAGAGGUGAAAAUAAUAAAGUGCCUUGUAGAAAAUGUUGUAGUAGACAUCUCUAUUAACCAGCUUGGUGGUUUAUGUACACUUUGCUUCUUUGAGGAGAUUGAUAACUUGAUAAACCAUAGUCAUCUAUUCAAGCGCAGCAUUACAUUGAUUAAAGCUUGGUGUUACUAUGAGAGCCGGCUCUUGGGAUCUCAUCAUGGUCUUAUUUCGACUUAUGCAUUGGAGACCUUGGUUUUGUACAUAUUUCAUGUUUACAAUAAUUCAUUUGCUGGACCUCUUGAGGUUCUUUAUCGUUUUCUAGAGUUCUUCAGCAGUUUUGAUUGGCAUAAAUUUUGUCUUAGUCUUCAGGGCCCAGUGCCAAUUAGUUCACACCCUGACAUGGCUGCGGAUCCUCCAAGAAAUGAUGUUGGAGAGUUACCACUUAGCAAAUUGGUUUUCGCAUGUGCAUCUGUUUAUGCUGUUUUGCCCCAUGGCCAAGAGAAUCUAGAGCAGCCCUUCAGUUUGAAACAUUUUAACAUCAUUGAUCCAUUGCGUGUAAACAACAAUCUUGGGCGUAGUGUCAGUAAAGGUAACUUCUUUAGGAUUUGUAGUGCGUUUUCUUUUGGAGCUCAACGACUGGCAAGGUUACUUGAAUGUCCAACAGAGAAUCUAAUUGCUGAACUGAACUGGUUUUUCAAGAACACAUGGGACAGGCAUGGGAAAGGCUAUCGCCUUGAUGCUUCUAGUCCUGAUCUCUAUGUUUUGAAAUCUGGUAACUUGAAGAACAUUGAUAGGCCUGAUAGUUUUAGCUGUGGUUUAAGUAGCACAAUGGAUGAAGUGACAGAUGCAUACCGGCAUGGUAAACAUUCUGUAACAUGGAUGUCUAGGACUUGUAAUGCAUCUGCUGUCUCUCAUACUGAGAACCUGAAAACUUACACUAAUACAACUAACCCAGCAUCUUCCCAUCAGAAACAUCAUGAUUUGCAAAAUAUUUCAAAUGAGAAUCCAGAAACUGAUAGGGGUAGAAAUUAUAGAUCUGAGUUCUUGAGGAAUGAAAGGCAUGUCAGAUAUCAGUUUGUGAAGACAUAUUCUAUUCCGGAACCCACAGAUAGAUCCAGUGACAUUUUAUUUAGAGGAAGUACCUGUAAUGUAUUAGAAUCAGGCAAUGGCUGGACUGCUCCAACAAAGUCAGAUGAUAGGAGACAGAACUUCUGUCCUGAAGGUUUGGAUAACCAUAGUGCCAAAUUUCCAACCGAAGAUCACCCAACUUCAAGUCUGAACUCGUCCCAUCAGCAUACUGAUUCUGCUGUUGAUUUGCAUAGUGCUUCAAAUGGUUACUACAAUGAUUCUGGCAUGAAUUACAUAGGAAAAGGCAGCCACCCUAUUGCUGAGACAGUGCAGAUGUAUCAGGAAGAGCAUGAUUUUGUGAAAAUGAUGGCAUCCAGGUUUAAUAUCAAUGGACAGGUUCAGAGGCAGGUUCCUAGACCACCUACUGAAGUAUCUUCACUGGGAUAUGGUAAUAAAAAUCUGGUUGCAACUGUUCCCACAAAUAUUCCUGUUAUUAGGUCCCCGUGGGUUUCAGAGAUGCAUUAUUCUCAGGGUUUAUUUCCCUUGCCAGUAUCUCAAUGUCAUCAAGGUAUAGAAAUGACAUCAAAACAAGAAGAAUUUACCAAACUAGUUGACAGUAAUGUGAUAUCAGAGGAAUUGAAUCAAGAGGACAGUGAUCUUGGUUUCCAACUGGAGCAGAAUGUGCAAUCUUCAAGAGAUUAUGAUCACAGCAACAGAAGCUUCCAAGCUCAACAGCUGGAGGAUAGGCAGCAAUUUUCUUUGGGGUCUAAUUCAUCCAGGGUUACAGAUAAUGGAGGUUUUAUUGGGAAAAUAUAUGUUGGCAGUUUCCCUUGUGAAAGUGAUGUCAAGUGUGGUGCCAGUUCAAGAUUUGUAUCUUCCCUAGCUAUUCCCUCGGGAACCACAUACUCUACAGAUAAGUUCUGGGAUGGAUCUCCUUCUGGACCUUACAAGUCAACAUGUGAUAAGCAAGGGAGUAAAUCAGUUUUUUCUACAGACCCUCCUACUAAGGAGGGUUUGGCUAGGAAUGGAAGGUAUAGUGAGGGUGAAUUAGUUGACCCUGUUUCUUCUCAGUCUGAUGAGGUCACAAGAGAGCAGAUUCCACUUCCAACAGCAGGCACUGAUGUUGUAGGAAGCUCAGUUUCUGGACCUGUUUUUUCUUCGUGUGUUCAGACUCAUCAAGUACCUUGUUAUGAACCAGCAUUAGUGAAUGGAUCAAAUUCAGUCCUUCCAGUCGCUUCAGUACUCAUAGGUUCUCAAUCACAGCAUAAUGAUAGGAAAAACAUAGGGGUAUUACCAGCACUUUAUCCAAUGUGGACAGGAGUUCAAUUUCUAACCAUGCUUCCAAUGUAUAAUCUCUCAACUGAGACAGGAACCUCUUGUGUAUCGACAAACGAUUAUGAUAGGGAUGAAGAGUUUGACAAUUGUCAACACCAGUCAGAUCACAAGUUAGAUACAACUGAAAUCCAUGAUCAGUCAAAGCUUUACAAAAGUUAUAAUUCUACGAAGGAGGUUGCUUCUUUGGGGCCAUCUGAACAUCACAAGACUGACAUUCUAAAAAGUGAUUUUGUCAACCACUGGCAGAACCUGCAAUAUGGGCGGUUUUGCCAGAGCACUGAACUGCAUGGGCCUUUACAUCCUUACCUUAAUGCGGUGCCACUGGUGUACCCACGGGAUCAUUUCACAUGGGAUAAAACUGGAAGACCCCCUGCUGAAAAUAUUAACCUCAUCACACCGCUCAUGGGUUAUAGACCUAGCUUCACUCCUGUUUCCCAUAACAGGCCUGUAGGUGUUUAUGAACACAGGGAUGAGAUACCCAAAUGUCGUAGCGGUACUGGAACUUAUCUGCCCAUUCAUAAGAGUUCUUUCCAUGGCCGACAAUCUUCAAAUACAAGGAAUCACAAGCGGCAUCAUGGCUGUGAUAGGAAGCAUCAUGUUAUAGAGAGGGAAGGAAGCUGCAAUACAAAUUCCAAGCCACGACUUGCUGCUCGUAGCCAGGGUUGGAACCAAGUUGAGAAGCCAAACAGGAGACUGGAUAGGGCAACGGAAAGAAAUAACCGAUCUGUUAAGUCAGGGGAUUCAUUUGAUCAUGAUUGUCCUCCAUCAGACCAUUCUCACAGGGUUUCAUCAACUAUCUCCAGCUCCAUAAACCACUCUGCAACUGUGGCAUCUGACAUGUAUUCCUUACCUGUUGUGAAUCCUAGCAUUGUUUCUGACUCUGGAACCAUUGUACCAUCAUUAGUUAUGCUCUGUCCAUAUGAUCAAAACAUGGAAUUUGGUUCUCUUGCCAAGCGGCUUGAGUUUGGCUCUCUUGGAGCAGUUUGUUCAGGUGCACGUGAAGCAUCACAUCUUGAUGAAAGUUCAUCAAGGGUUGUCGACGAGUGGCAAAAAAUCCAAGAUGAUUCCAAACUUUCUUCUUCUAAUUAGCCUUCCUCUCCUCAGCUUCAAAGGAAGACUUGAUUUUCGCUGGAAUGGCCAACUGAAGAAAUUAUCAACUCUGAGAUUCAAUUGGAUCGACUAUCCCGGUACCCUUCUCAUGUUACUCUGCCUGUGGUAGUACAGAUUUCACUUUCUCCUGCAACAUACUGAAAUCCUGCAAGCAAGUUGUAACUGAGAUGAUUAACUGUUGAUUCUCUUGUUAACUGACAUUCAGAAACAGGAAAUCUUCCUAAAUUUUACCUCCUGUCGGACCUGUCGAAAGUGUACAGAAACGCAGAAUAUAUUGUCUUCAACUCUGGCUCCUGCUAUUUUCUUUGUUUCUCCUUCCAACUCCCUGAUUAUCUGUUACCCAACAAUAGUGUUAAACAAGAUUCAACAAUUGUAUUCUGCUAAUCGAAUCGCGUAUUUAUCAUAUAUUGAAAACUUAUUUUUCAAAU